rnacentral:piRNA from 1 species
UACAAAGACACUCUCAUGAAUCUAAGGAUGCC